UACGGGGGGGGGCAAGCGUUGUUCGGAAUUACUGGGCGUAAAGGGCUCGUAGGUGGCCAACUAAGUCAGACGUGAAAUCCCUCGGCUUAACCGGGGAACUGCGUCUGAUACUGGAUGGCUUGAGUUUGGGAGAGGGACGCGGAAUUCCAGGUGUAGCGGUGAAAUGCGUAGAGAUGUGGAGGAACACCGAUGGCGAAGGCAGCCUCCUGGGCCAGCACGUGACGCUCAUGCACGAAAGCGUGGGGGAGCAAACAGG
rnacentral:rRNA from 1 species